rnacentral:rRNA from 1 species
AACGAACGCUGGCGGCAUGCCUAACACAUGCAAGUCGAACGAGACCUUCGGGUCUAGUGGCGCACGGGUGCGUAACGCGUGGGAACCUGCCCUUAGGUUUGGAAUAACUCCCCGAAAGGGGUGCUAAUACCGGAUAAUGUCCUCGGACCAAAGAUUUAUCGCCUUUGGAUGGGCCCGCGUUGUAUUAGCUGGUUGGUAGGGUAAAAGCCUACCAAGGCGACGAUCGAUAGCUGGUCUGAGAGGAUGAUCAGCCACACUGGGACUGGGACACGGCCCGGACUCCUACGGGAGGCAGCAGUGGGGAAUAUUGGACAAUGGGCGAAAGCCUGAUCCAGCAAUGCCGCGUGAGUGAUGAAGGCCUUAGGGUUGUAAAGCUCUUUUACCCGGGAUGAUAAUGACAGUACCGGGAGAAUAAGCACCGGCUAACUCCGUG